AAUGAACGUUGGCGGCGUGGAUUAGGCAUGCAAGUCGAACGAGAACCCCGCAAGGGGGGAAAGUGGCAAACGGCGUAGUAAGGCGUAGGUGACGUGCCCUGGGGUCUAGGAUAGCCAUGGGAAACCGUGGGUAAUACUGGAUGAUCCCGUUAGAGUUGAAUUUCUAACGGGCAAAGGUGUGAUUCCGUCCUGGGAGCGGCUUGCGUGGUAUUAGCUAGUUGGUGAGGUAACGGCUCACCAAGGCAACGAUGCCUAGGGGGUGUUAGCGCAUGACCCCCACGACUGGGACUGAGAUACUGCCCAGACACCUACGGGUGGCAG
rnacentral:rRNA from 1 species